UACGUAGGGGGCAAGCGUUGUCCGGAUUUAUUGGGCGUAAAGAGCGUGUAGGCGGCUUUGCAAGUCCGUUGUGAAAACUCGAGGCUCAACCUCGAGACGCCGGUGGAAACUGCAAAGCUAGAGUCCGGAAGAGGAGAGUGGAAUUCCUGGUGUAGCGGUGAAAUGCGCAGAUAUCGUAAGGAAGACCAGUGGCGAAGGCGGGUCUCUGGACAGUUCCUGACGCUGAGGCACGAAGGUCAGGGGAGCAAACGGG
rnacentral:rRNA from 1 species